GUGAGGAAUAUUGGUCAAUGGGCGGGAGCCUGAACCAGCCAAGUCGCGUGAAGGAAGAAGGAUCUAUGGUUCGUAAACUUCUUUUGCAGGGGAAUAAAGUGCAGGACGUGUCCUGUUUUGUAUGUACCCUGAGAAUAAGGAUCGGCUAACUCCGUGCCAGCAGCCGCGGUAAUACGGAGGAUCCGAGCGUUAUCCGGAUUUAUUGGGUUUAAAGUGUGCGUAGGUGGUUUGAUAAGUCAGCGGUGAAAGUUUGCAGCUUAACUGUAAAAAUGCCGUUGAAACUGUCGGACUUGAGUGUAAAUGAGGUAGGCGGAAUGCGUGGUGUAGCGGUGAAAUGCAUAGAUAUCACGCAGAACUCCGAUUGCGAAGGCAGCUUACUAAGCUACAACUGACACUGAAGCACGAAAGCGUGGGGAUCAAACAGGAUUAGAUACCCCGGUAGUCC
rnacentral:rRNA from 1 species